CCUACGGGAGGCAGCAGUGGGGAAUAUUGCACAAUGGGCGAAAGCCUGAUGCAGCAACGCCGCGUGAAGGAAGAAGGCUUUCGGGUUGUAAACUUCUUUUGUCAGGGAAGAGUAGAAGACGGUACCUGACGAAUAAGCCACGGCUAACUACGUGCCAGCAGCCGCGGUAAUACGUAGGUGGCAAGCGUUGUCCGGAUUUACUGGGUGUAAAGGGCGUGUAGCCGGGUUGACAAGUCAGAUGUGAAAUCCUGCGGCUUAACCGCAGAACUGCAUUUGAAACUGUUGAUCUUGAGUACUGGAGAGGCAGACGGAAUUCCUAGUGUAGCGGUGAAAUGCGUAGAUAUUAGGAGGAACACCAGUGGCGAAGGCGGUCUGCUGGACAGCAACUGACGGUGAGGCGCGAAAGCGUGGGGAGCAAACAGGAUUAGAUACCCCAGUAGUC
rnacentral:rRNA from 1 species